rnacentral:rRNA from 1 species
UCAAGCGAGUAAGCGCAUACGGUGAAUGCCUUGGCAGUUGGAGGCGAUGAAGGACGUAGGAGCCUGCGAUAAGCUUCGGGGAGGUGGCAAACACCCUUUGAUCCGAAGAUUUCCGAAUGGGGAAACCCACCCAUCAUAAGAUGGGUAUCAUGCACUGAAUACAUAGGUGUAUGAAGCGAACCCGGAGAACUGAAACAUCUAAGUACCCGGAGGAAAAGAAAUCAACCGAGAUUCCCUAAGUAGCGGCGAGCGAACGGGGAGCAGCCUGCAAGUGAUAGCAGUAGUGUUAGUGGAACAGUCUGGAAAGUCUGGUAAUAAAGGGUGAUAGCCCCGUACACGAAAACACUUCUGUGGUACUAAGCUUGCGAUAAGUAGGUCGGGACACGUGUUAUCCUGAUUGAAUAUGGGGGGACCAUCCUCCAAGGCUAAAUACUACCAACUGACCGAUAGUGAACUAGUACCGUGAGGGAAAGGCGAAAAGAACCCCUGUGAGGGGAGUGAAAUAGAUCCUGAAACCGUAUGCGUACAAGCAGUAGGAGCGGACUUGUUCCGUGACUGCGUACCUUUUGUAUAAUGGGUCAGCGACUUAUUUUCAGUGGCAAGGUUAACCGUAUAGGGGAGCCGUAGGGAAACCGAGUCUUAAUAGGGCGUUUUAGUCGCUGGGAAUAGACCCGAAACCGGGCGAUCUAUCCAUGGCCAGGUUGAAGGUUGAGUAACAUCAACUGGAGGACCGAACCCACUAAAGUUGAAAAUUUAGGGGAUGAGCUGUGGAUCGGAGUGAAAGGCUAAUCAAGCCCGGAGAUAGCUGGUUCUCCUCGAAAGCUAUUUAGGUAGCGCCUCAUGUCUCACCACUGGGGGUAGAGCACUGUUUCGGCUAGGGGGUCAUACCGACUUACCAACCCGAUGCAAACUCCGAAUACCAGUGAGUGCAAUCAUGGGAGACACACGGCGGGUGCUAACGUUCGUCGUGGAGAGGGAAACAACCCAGACCGCCAGCUAAGGUCCCAAAUCUCAGUUAAGUGGGAAACGAUGUGGGAAGGCUCAGACAGCUAGGAGGUUGGCUUAGAAGCAGCCAUCCUUUAAAGAAAGCGUAAUAGCUCACUAGUCGAGUCGUCCUGCGCGGAAGAUGUAACGGGGCUAAGCACGUAACCGAAGCUUCGGGUGCAUAUUUAUAUGCACGGUAGGAGAGCGUUCUGUAAGCCUGUGAAGGUGUCUUGUGAAGGAUGCUGGAGGUAUCAGAAGUGCGAAUGCUGACAUGAGUAGCGUUAAAGGGGGUGAAAAGCCCCCUCGCCGUAAGCGCAAGGUUUUCUACGCAACGUUCAUCGGCGUAGAGUGAGUCGGCCCCUAAGGCGAGGCAGAGAUGCGUAGCUGAUGGGAAACAGGUCAAUAUUCCUGUACCGAUUACAAGUGCGAUGUGGGGACGGAGAAGGUUAGCUCAGCCAACUGUUGGAUAUGUUGGUUCAAGCCUGUAGUCGUGCCCGGUAGGCAAAUCCGCCGGGCUUAGAUGAGGGGUGAUAAGGAGUCUGCUUGCAGACGAAGUGAGUGAUACCCUGCUUCCAGGAAAAGCCACUAAGCUUCAGCUUGUAACGACCGUACCGCAAACCGACACUGGUGCGCGAGAUGAGUAUUCUAAGGCGCUUGAGAGAACUCUGGAGAAGGAACUCGGCAAAUUGAUACCGUAACUUCGGGAGAAGGUAUGCCCCCAGUAGGUGAACUCGAACAGAGGGAGCCCAAUGGGGUUGCAAAAAAUCGGUGGCUGCGACUGUUUAUUAAAAACACAGCACUCUGCAAACACGAAAGUGGACGUAUAGGGUGUGACGCCUGCCCGGUGCCGGAAGGUUAAUUGAUGGGGUUAGCGCAAGCGAAGCUCUUGAUCGAAGCCCCGGUAAACGGCGGCCGUAACUAUAACGGUCCUAAGGUAGCGAAAUUCCUUGUCGGGUAAGUUCCGACCUGCACGAAUGGCGUAACGAUGGGGGCGCUGUCUCCACCUGAGACUCAGUGAAAUCGAAAUCGCGGUGAAGAUGCCGUGUUCCCGCGGCUAGACGGAAAGACCCCGUGAACCUUUACUAUAGCUUGGCACUGAACUUUGAACCUAUCUGUGUAGGAUAGGUGGGAGGCUUUGAAGCGUGAUCGCUAGAUUGCGUGGAGCCAUCCUUGAAAUACCACCCUGGUAUGUUUGAGGUUCUAACGCAGACCCGUUAUCCGGGUCGCGGACAGUGUCUGGUGGGUAGUUUGACUGGGGCGGUCUCCUCCCAAAGAGUAACGGAGGAGCGCGAUGGUACACUCAGCAUGGUCGGAAAUCAUGCUAUGAGCGCAAAGGUAGAAGUGUGCUUGACUGCGAGACUGACACGUCGAGCAGGUACGAAAGUAGGUCUUAGUGAUCCGGUGGUUCUGUAUGGAAGGGCCAUCGCUCAACGGAUAAAAGGUACUCCGGGGAUAACAGGCUGAUACCGCCCAAGAGUUCAUAUCGACGGCGGUGUUUGGCACCUCGAUGUCGGCUCAUCACAUCCUGGGGCUGUAGCCGGUCCCAAGGGUAUGGCUGUUCGCCAUUUAAAGUGGUACGCGAGCUGGGUUCAGAACGUCGUGAGACAGUUCGGUCCCUAUCUGCCGUGGGCGUUGGAAAAUUGAGGAAAGCUGCUCCUAGUACGAGAGGACCGGAGUGGACGAACCGCUGGUGUUUGGGUUGUCAUGCCAAUGGCAUUGCCCAGUAGCUACGUUCGGACAGGAUAACCGCUGAAAGCAUCUAAGCGGGAAGCCCCUUCCAAGAUUAAUUUUCCCUGGGAGUUUAACUUCCCUGAAGGGCCGUUCAAGACUAGGACGUUGAUAGGUUGGGUGUGGAAGCGCUGUGAGGCGUUGAGCUAACCAAUACUAAUUGCCCGUGAGGCUUGACCAU